rnacentral:rRNA from 1 species
AUUGAACGCUGGCGGCAGGCUUAACACAUGCAAGUCGAGCGAGCGGCGGACGGGUGAGUAAUGUCUGGGAAACUGCCUGAUGGAGGGGGAUAACUACUGGAAACGGUAGCUAAUACCGCAUACCAUCAGAUGUGCCCAGAUGUGAUUAGCUAGUAGGUGGGGUAAUGGCUCACCUAGGCGACGAUCCCUAGCUGGUCUGAGAGGAUGACCAGCUACACUGGAACUUAGACACGGUCCAGAGUCAUACGGGAGGCAGCAGUGGGGAAUAUUGCGCAAUGGGCGCAAGCAUGAUGCAGCCAUGCCGCGUGGGUGAAGAGGGCCUUCGGGUUGUAAAGCACUUUCAGCGAGGAGGCGUUACUCGCAGAAGAAGCAGCGGCUAACUCCGUGCCAGCAGCCGCGGUAAUUC